GACGAACGCUGGCGGCGUGCCUAAUACAUGCAAGUCGAGCGCAGGAAACUGACGGAACUCUUCGGAGGGAAGGCAGUGGAAUGAGCGGCGGACGGGUGAGUAACACGUAAGGAACCUGCCUCAAGGAUUGGGAUAACUCCGAGAAAUCGGAGCUAAUACCGGAUAGUUCAACGGACCGCAUGGUCCGCUGAUGACAGGCGCUCCGGCGUCACCUUGAGAUGGCCUUGCGGUGCAUUAGCUAGUUGGUGGGGUAACGGCCCACCAAGGCGACGAUGCAUAGCCGACCUGAGAGGGUGAUCGGCCACACUGGGACUGAGACACGGCCCAGACUCCUACGGGAGGCAGCAGUAGGGAAUCUUCCACAAUGGACGAGAGUCUGAUGGAGCAACGCCGCGUGAGUGAUGAAGGUUUUCGGAUCGUAAAACUCUGUUGUAAGGGAAGAACACGUACGAGAGGGAAUGCUCGUACCUUGACGGUACCUUACGAGAAAGCCACGGCUAACUACGUGCCAGCCGCCGCCGUAACAC
rnacentral:rRNA from 1 species